UAAACCUGCCCCAACAUCCAAGUAACGUUAAGCUAGCUACCUUAUGGAGGCUGAUGCCCACGUUGGCCGUAAAGGGAAGCAACUUUCCAGCUGUGAGAGCUAACACACAAAGUCGGGGCUAGAAGGAAGAAAGCGAAGCUCACUCAGCAGCACGGAGGCAGACAGACAGGCAGCCUGGCGUCAGCUCCACUGACAUGAAGACUUUCUAAGCUCACAAGAAGAGGAAAACUAACCACUCACCGACGAACAUCUGCGGAUUUGUUCGAGGAUUUGUUGCUGGGAGGUUUUGUUCAUCCUCCACGACGAGACAAAGACGCGGACAGACGUCGCAGUUCAGCUGAGUCGCCAGCUGUCCUUCACCACAGGAGCCAUGGUGGCAGCAGUGCUGAAGAUGUACUUCAUUGGAACGGCGCUCAGCGUCCUCGCGGUCCUCUUUGGAUUAGCAGACUCUGUUGGCGGUCUGAUGUACCACCAGAACCAUCACUACACCGAGGAGCCGGUCCACCAGACAAAGACACAGAGACAGGAUUCCUCAGCGAGUCACCGGAGAGGAUCGCUGGUGACUAAACACAUUGGCUCAUGAGGGCAGACAUCUUGGUCACAAUUUGGCAGCUGGAUGGACGUGCUGGGUGCUGUGGGCACCCUGGAUACUGUAGCAAUGGAAGAACGGACGAUGAGACUUGAAUAAUUGCACUGACAAACAGAUCAAUGCUGGUGGUUUGUUGAAUUUUGGAGAAUCCGUCGGCGUGUCGCCAUUCGCUCCACUGUGUGAUGUCAGACACUGUGACUCUGACUGCACUAUCAAACUGUUUUCUGCACUAGACAUUAGGAAAUGUUUGGGGUUUUCAUCAGGUCACUAAUGUGUGUUUUUUAUUGUUCGUUUUAUUCUUUGUAAUAAACUGAAUUAUGUGUUGUAAUGAGUUUACUGAGGUCUCUUAAUACGAACAAAGCAGCCGCUGUUUACUGAUGGAAGCCAUUAAAUAAAACUAGCUUCAUGAGAAAAUGUGGUCAUGCUGUCAUAAUUGUGAAAUUAAAGGUCUAUUAUGAGGGAAAUAUGAGAUAUAAUGUCAAAAUUGUUACAAUUAUGUAAAGUAAAUAAUAAUAUAAUUAUGAGAUGAAGUCAAACCUAUAGAGAAAAAGUGGGAGAGAAAGUCAUGGUGUUGAGAUAAAAGUCUAAAUUAUGAGUUAUGAAAAGUCAAAUGUAUGAUUAUUAUGUCUUUCUUUCUGACUGACAUUUUUAUAUAUAUCAUAAUUUUCUUAUAUCCUUAUAUUAAUUUCCUUUUUAUCUCAUUUAUGACAUCAUGUGAAUUCUUUUUUUUUUAAUCCAUUUUCAUCAAAUCUUUUCUUAAACUGGCACAAACGGGCUUCCAUACUGACACGUAUCAAAUGUGGAAAUGUACUGAGACAAACUAAAACAACUCGAGCAGUGAUUCAAGAGCUUAAAGGAUAAAAACAGAGUUUUGCCUAUAGUUGCAAAAGAAGUUGAGGUGGAGAAAAUCCAGAUAAAUCAGGGAGAACGUCAACCUGUCGUGUUGUCGAAAUAAUGGUUCCGCUUGAUUUCACUUUAAAAGAGGAAAAUACUUAAGUCAGGUAAGAACUCUGUAACGACAGGCAUCUGUGCAGAGGUAACACUACUCCGGCUUUGUGUUGUAUUUGAUUUGUGUCGAUGGACACGGCAUCGCAGCGAGAAUCACAAACCCAUAAGAGCCAACGAGUCCCAACAGACCCCAAGAGCUCUGCAGUAGUCAAGAAAACCUCAACCUAUUAGAGAGAAAACUAAAGAAACCUGAGGCGAGGAUAAAUCCUUCCCUCCUCAAAUGACAUCCGGUUAUAUAAUUGUGUUUUGUCUGGCUCAGUUACAGUGCAGCUCGGUGCCACUGCUCUCAUCGGACUUCCCAUGAUUUGAUGAAGAUAAGAAAGGUCUGAACAUUGUGUGCCUUCAUUAGAUAUUGUAGAGAUGUUGACUUAAUGUGCCAAACUCUGAGUCACGUACUGAGACUGACCCCACCUGUGCUAACACAGCCUCAAUCCAGAAAUCUUUCAUUUCCUGUAAAAGGCUCAUUAAAGACUGUAAAUGUUUUAGCGAGCGGUCCCCCUCAAUGUACGCUGAAAACGAAACCUGAUCUGCUUCCUUGCUUGUGUUUGUGCCAAUUUCUUCUUUGAAGCGCUCGCUUUGAAUCUGCCGAGUGAUUUGUGAUUUCCCCUUUUUUCUUUAUCAUCACAUGGCCAGAAACAUGACUCAGAUGACUGCUUAUGUUGCUUCAUAUCUGCUCGGUGUGUGUAUAUACCAACGUGUUAAUCUUUACUAAAUGACCACAUCCGCCAUUUGUUUGUGCCUUCCGUGGUGGUCCGUCGGCCUGGUUUGACCUACUUUAGCUCAGUUGUUCUCUUGGGGGCGGUGGCACACCUGGGCCUUGCGUGACCCGGAGCAGCAGCAGCAGCAGCAGCUAAGUCCAUCAGAGAUUGUUCCUCCUCACACAUCUCUGCUUCGUUCCUUUUUUUUUUUUUUUUUUUUUUGCGGUUAUCACAGCCCUCAGGCUAAUGCAGCAAACUUCUGCUCAUCCAUUCCUUAUGCCGCUGAAUUCUCACACUGUAUUUGUUCUUUGUGAGUCAUUUGUUGAAUGUGUGUCUCCGGGUUUACUCUCACAGCGUUUUCCCAUCCAGAGCCCCCGUUGGCAGGAAGGCAGUUUCUCUCAGCGCCGUCCAAAUCAGUAACAUAUGAGCGCUAUAGCGUAAUUUCAUACGCCUGUUUCUGGAAAGCCACAUGUUACAAAUUGAGGGUAUUCUGAGAAGUGUGGGACUGAGUAUUUGUUAGUUUGGACCUUGACAGUCAGGGCUUUGGGUCUGUAGGCCUGUUUAAAUCCAGAAAUUAACCAAUAACAGCUUUGACGUUAUGUUACGUCUGUGUAUUGUGUCACAGAGCUACCCGCUGGAGUUAGGGUCGCCCCACCGGUCCUGUCUUGUUUUGCCACCUUGUACCUCAAGAGGCGACAGUGAGUCACGGCAGCAUCUGUUUUGCUUACAGUCUGACAAAUCAGAGGUGGUUUUUCUUGUUACGUUAGACUCAUCCUGGGAAUGACCCUGCCUGAGGUGGGUGCUGACUAAUGCCUGACCUCCUUCUGGUUCGUCUCCUGCUUCUCCGCCAUCUCAGAGUCAAUGUCCUCAUCAGUCCCUGUGGCCACUGGAGACCGUGUUGCGUCCUGGUCCAGACGUAUUGACUUAGUAACUUAGCUGCUUAACCUGUUUUUGGACCAAUGCUGGUGACCCUCCACGCUCACAUUCCCCACUGGGUCCCUUCACCCCAGUCCUGAAAACCUCCUCCUACCAGUAGUCCAUAGAUUUUGUAGUGCUGAAAACAACAACACUCCAACCUGAUGCUUCAAGCUCUCAAUCGAGGCAGACUCAGCAAUUAGGACUGCUAGCUGCUUGGCUAACCAAGCUAACGGUAGCUAAAAUUAACAGCAGUUAGCGAUUAUUUCUGGUGGUGUUAUUAAUCCGUGGUGGUGUUAAGCCGUCCCUCUGCCCCAGAGACUGAGGAGGAAAUGUACCCAACUUGCUUUGUGGCUACAGUGGUGAGAUUUGCACGUACACACACCCACACAACACACAAGUCAUCUGGAUUGAGUCAUAACAAGGUCGUUAUGUUCUAUGUUUUUGACGCAAUGCUCCAGCUCUCACAAAGCACCACUUCUUCUCAUGCGCGGUUUCCCUUCCUCAAACCAGCAUCUAACUGAUUAAAUUUAAAAAAAAGCUAUAAUGACAUGCUUUUAUCUCUAAUUGGUUUUCGUGUAUUGUUGUGGAAAUUAAACAUCUGGCUAAGAUUUGAAAUGUAUAAAGGACAAAAAAAAGUUUUCCUCCUCAUCCCAUUUUUUUUUCUUUUUAUAAUUUCUCAUCUCUUUGAACACUCCGAGUUGUAUUCUGACCCUCAUAUCUGGACUCUCUGCACGCGCUCGACUUGAAGCUGAAUUAUUUUCCGUGGUAGCAGGGUGAAACUAAUGGCUGGAUGUCAAGAUCAGCCCCGGGGGAAAACAGCUGUGUUUCCAGUGAAACACUCAUGUGUCUGCUCUGUUCUCACAAGUCCACAAACAUGUAGCUCUCUUGUUCUUUUUACUUUUCCUUUUACUGGCAUGCUUUGAUUUACUGAGUUACCGAGGAAUUAAUGUGGAAUGAUCCUGGAACUACUAAAAAAUCAUUGAUGACUGAUCCUUGCAUAACUGUGAUUAAAGCACUGUUUAAGUAGAUGGUGAACAGACCGGAAGAUGCUUACAUAAUGGCUCAGCUAAUUAUUGAUUCACAAAUAUCUGUGAAGCCACAAACUGGCAGCUAUCUUUAUGAUUUGUUCCCGAUUAACUAUUAACCAUAAACUAGUAACAAGUCAUUAGUUACUAAUUAUUUAAUCAUCAGAUACUUUUUUGUGCCCCAAAGGUUAAGUGAAACAUAAUACUGAGUAGUUACUAGGUAAACUCAUUAAUUACUAAUUAAUGAACUAUCGGACAAUAAUUUAAUGUACUGACUUUGCUUGAGAUGGCACAAAAUCGUAACUAAUAAGUAAUUAGUAAUUAUUAACAAGUCUACAUAACUACUUAUUAAUAUGUUUCACUUUACUAGAAGGUACACAAGACACACUACACUAAUGAUUAGGUAAUUACUAUUUAAUCACUUGGUAACUACUAAGUAUUGCUUCACUUAAGCUCAAUGUAUGCAAAAACAGUAACUAAUGAUUAAGUAAUGAGUAGUUAGUGCGUCUUCAUGGUGAGUACUUACAUAUUAUGUUUAAUUUUAUUUGGAACCACACAAAAGAGUAAGUAAUGAUUAAGUAAUUAGUAAUUAAUGAGUCAUUGCUGUUUGUGCUACUCAGGAACUACUCAUUUAUAUAUUUUUUAAAAAAGUAUGUUGGUGGUCAGUAUGUUGAUUUACUGGUAUUUAGAUUAUGCUCAUUAAAGAUUAACUAAUUACCAAGCAGUUUCUGAUUCGUUCCUCACUCAUUACUUAGUGGGAAAGAGGAAAGCAGUAUGGGUGAAUGCAUGACGUCCUCUUGUGUUCACUUGAGCCCACUACAGAUUAAGAUAAGUUAAGUUGGACAUCCAUUCUGUCUUGCUGCAUUCACGCCUCCCUCCACUUCUCAGAACAGACGCAGCUUCUUAUUUUGCACUUUUUUUCCCCCUCCACGUCUUUCACAAUGCCAACAUUUCCUGACGACAUCGAAUGCAUCACAAAUUAACUGAGCCCUCCACUGUUUCCCUCGCUUGCACUGGUCGCAUCUGGCCACAAGGUGCGUCUCCAUCAAACACGCUGGGAGUGUUGAGUCCUCCCAGCGGCUCAGGUCACCUGGAUGCGGGCAGAGAGCACCUGCUGGUGGAGGACGCACCCCCCACCCCUCCCUCCUCCUGAGCCUCACGCAGCACUUUUUAUGUUAAUGACCCGUCCAAAGCACGUCCCACCCCCACUUGGCUUCACAGCGCAGCACUAAUAAGAGAGUCAGUAUUGGCAGGCAUUUCGGUUACUGGUACUUAUUUAAGUGGGAGUCCCCCCUCAUUUUUACGCAUCGGAUAUGUUCUGGAGACUCGUGGUCCUGGGUGGGGUGUGCGUCCUUCUCCUGGGUGCUGAAGGCAGGAGCGGCGGGGGGAGGACGGUGACUUUCCACCGCACUCAGCAGGAUGGGAGCCAGGGCCAGGUGCGCACACGCCCCAGGAGGGACACCAGCGGCGCCUCCAGGCCCUCUCACGGACCCCCCUUCACCUCCUGCAAGACCCCCCUCACCCCCGCCGAGCACGAGGUCCUGGAUGACAACACGCGUGAGACAGGGUUCAACGGUGACGACGGCUCCUAUGUGAUCCUCACGUGGGUGGGCGAUGGCACAGGAGUCAUCCUUGUGCUCUCAACGUUUAGCGCUCUGAUAGAUACCUUCCUCGAGGGAGGCUCCUCGCGGCUUUAUCGAAGUACGGAUUACGGAAAAUCUUUCCAUGACAUCUCCCAGCGGAUCAACAACACCUUCAUAAAGGAGGAGUUUGGCGUCAGUGUUGGACCGGGAAGCUCUGUGAUACUGACAGCGGAUGUACCAGUGGUGGACAACCCAGGCGGGAUCAUCUUCACCUCCACGGAUGCCGGCGCCACCUUCAGGUUCAUCCAGCUGCCCUUCCACCUGGCUCAGCCAAUCACCUACCACUUCCUCAACCCCGACUACCUCGUGGCCCUCAGCAUCGAUGGCGGUCUGUGGCUCUCUCUGGACUUUGGCGCCAAGUGGACAAAAGUUCAUGAUGGAGUGCAUUCUUUCUCAUGGGGGGCCGGCAUCAAUCUGUUCUUCAGCUACAGUCGAGUAGACACAGUUGACGCCGAGGAGCGGGGUGACUUAGUGCUGAAGAGGACAAAGGAUCUGGGGAAGACGUUCACCACCAUCCACGAGGACAUCUUCAGCUUCGGCUACAUCGGCGCCUUUCUCUUCUUCUCUGUGAUGGAAGAUCCGAGAUCCCCUCGUGUCAUGUACUUCUCAUCGGACCAAGGAGACACCUUCAGUCAGGCGCUGCUGCCUUCUGCCUCCACUGAGCAGUUCUACUCCAUCCUGGAUGGAGAUGAAGACAUGCUCUUCAUGCAUGUGGACAACCCAGGAGACACCUUCUUCGGGACCAUGUACACGUCGGACGACCGCGGCAUCCUGUUCUCCAAAUCGCUGGAGCGCCACCUGUUUGACGGGCAGAGGAAGAGCGACUUCACCAACAUAACCUCCCUGAGAGGAGUCUACCUCACUAACAAGUUGGACGACGAUGGACGCAUACGAUCCGUCAUUUCCUUCAACAGGGGAGGGACGUGGAGGCAACUCAGCAAACCUGAGAACGUGGACUGUGGCCAGGUCCAGAGGUGCAACCUUCAUAUUCACGGAGAACACAGUCGCAACAACCGCAUCGUCCCCAUGCUGGCUCUGUCUGAACCGACGGCUGUGGGACUGGUUAUCGCUCACGGUACUGUGGGUGACUCUCUGUCGUCGUCGCAGCACCCGGACGUGUUUGUCUCCUCAGACGGGGGUUAUAACUGGAGAGGGACGCUGAGGGGCCCUCACCACUACAGCAUACUGGACUCUGGGGGUCUGAUCGUGGCCGUGGAGGCCCAGCGUGAAGGACAAGUCAAGACCAUCAAGUUCUCCACAGACGAGGGCCGGUGCUGGAAGUCGUACAACUUCACCGAGCAGCCCUUUUUCUUUGCGGGCCUGGCGUCCGAGCCGGGGACCAAGGCCAUGAAUGUCAGCGUGUGGGGCUUCCGGCCCGAAGAAGACGGCCAGCCCAUGUGGGUGGCCGUCACCAUCGACUUCCAGAGCCUCAUUACAAGAGAGUGUAACGAGCAGGACUAUGAACAGUGGCUGGCCCACUCCACAGACGAAGGAGGCUCGGAGAGAAACGGCUGCGUCCUGGGCGUCAAAGAGACGUACCGGAGGCUGAAGAAACAAUCGGUGUGCAGGAACGGGAAGAGCUUCGUGCGACUACGGCUACUAUCCUCAUGUGAACAGCUCGGAGUGUGUGAGGGAACCCAGCGCCAACAAAACCCUGGAGCCCUGUCUGGAGGGAGAGGAGGACGAGCUGCUCACAGCGGGGUACCGGAAGGUUGCCAGCGACAGGUGCGAGGGCGGGUUCAGUCCUCAGCUGGCCGUGCAGACUGUCAUCAGGCCCUGCGGCGUGAAUACCAGCCCCGCUCCGUCUACCAGGUCCUUGUCUCCAGUCGCAGACUUUGACACACCGCGCGAGAGGCUGGUGCUGAUCCUGGUGUGUGCGGGGGCUGGCGUCGUCGUCCUGAUAGCCGUCAUUUCCGCCAUCUUUGCCGUCAGGAGGGUGGUGUACAGGAACAGGACACCAGUGUACCGAUUCUCCAACCUGCGGAUC